AGUGAACGCUGGCGGUAGGCCUAACACAUGCAAGUCGAACGGCAGCACAGUAAGAGCUUGCUCUUACGGGUGGCGAGUGGCGGACGGGUGAGGAAUACAUCGGAAUCUACUUUUUCGUGGGGGAUAACGUAGGGAAACUUACGCUAAUACCGCAUACGACCUACAGGUGAAAGCAGGGGAUCUUCGGACCUUGCGCGAUUGAAUGAGCCGAUGUCGGAUUAGCUAGUUGGCGGGGUAAAGGCCCACCAAGGGGACGAUCCGUAGCUGGUCUGAGAGGAUGAUCAGCCACACUGGAACUGAGACACGAUCCAGACUCCUACGGGAGGCAGCAGUGGGGAAUAUUGGACAAUGGGCGCAAGCCUGAUCCAGCCAUACCGCGUGGGUGAAGAAGGCCUUCGGGUUGUAAAGCCCUUUUGUUGGGAAAGAAAAGCAGCAGGUUAAUACCCCGCUGUUCUGACGGUACCCAAAGAAUAAGCACCGGCUAACUUCG
rnacentral:rRNA from 1 species